rnacentral:tRNA from 5 species
GGCGCGAUGGCGGAGUGGCGACGCAGCGGAUUGCAAAUCCGUGUACACGAGUUCGAUUCUCGUUCGCGCCUCCA